rnacentral:rRNA from 1 species
UACGUAGGGUGCAAGCGUUGUCCGGAAUUAUUGGGCGUAAAGAGCUCGUAGGCGGUCUGUCACGUCGGCUGUGAAAACCCGAGGCUCAACCUCGGGCCUGCAGUCGAUACGGGCAAACUAGAGUACUGCAGGGGAGACUGGAAUUCCUGGUGUAGCGGUGAAAUGCGCAGAUAUCAGGAGGGAACACCGGUGGCGAAGGCGGGUCUCUGGGGCAGU